AACAUCGCGCACCUGCGGGAACCUGCGGAAGGAUCAUUAAUGAUUGGUGGCUGUUGCUGACUAGUGUUUCUAGUAUGUGCACGCCACACCUUCAAUCCCACUUACACCUGAGCACCUUCUGUAAUAGAUCUAUGUGGAUACGGAGAUGUGAAAGUUUGCGCUCUCCUACUCUGUUGAAGCAGUCUACUACGUUUUUUUACACACACACACACAAUAGUCAUUGAAUGUAUUUUUUAUUCU
rnacentral:misc_RNA from 1 species